ensembl:lncRNA
UAAGAGAUAUUGAUGAGAGAUAUUGAAGAGAGAUAUUGAAGAGAGAUAUUGAAAAGAGAUAUUGAAGAGAGAUAUUGAAAAGAGAUAUUGAAGAGAGAUAUUGAAAAGAGAUAUUGAAGAGAGAUUGAAAGAGAGAUUGAAGAGAGAUAUUGAAGAGAGAUAUUGAAAAGAGAUAUUGAAGAGAUAUUGAAGAGAGAUAUUGAAAAGAGAUAUUGAAGAGGGAUAUUGAAGAGAGAUUGAAGAGAGAUAUUGAAAAGAGAUAUUGAAGAGAGAUAUUGAAGAGAGAUUGAAGAGAGAGAUUGAAGAGAGAGAUUGAAAGAGAGAUUGAAGAGAGAGAUUGAAGAGAGAUAUUGAAAAGAGAUAUUGAAGAGAGAUAUUGAAAAGAGAUAUUGAAGAGAGAUAUUGAAAAGAGAUAUUGAAAAGAGAUAUUGAAGAGAGAUAUUGAAGAGAGAUAUUGAAAAGAGAUAUUGAAGAGAGAUAUUGAAGAGAGAUAUUGAAAAGAGAUAUUGAUGAGAGAUAUUGAUAAGAGAUUGAAGAGAGAUAUUGAUAAGAGAUUGAAGAGAGAUAUUAACGAGAGAUAUUGAAGAGAGAUAUUGAAGAGAGAUAUUGAUAAGAGAUUGAAGAGAGAGAUUGAAGAGAGAGAUUGAAGAGAGAGAUUGAAGAGAGAGAUUGAAGAGAGAUAUUGAUGAGAAAUAUUGAUGAGAGACAUUGAUAAAAGCUAUUGAUAAGAGUUCAUGAAAAUAUAUAUUGAUAAGAGCUAUUGAUUAGAGCUAUUGAUUAGAGCUCAAUAUUGAUUAGAGCUAGGUAAAUGAGUAAACUGUUUGGUUCAGGGAUUGUAAAUAUCAAUGACAUUUGUUUUAGAUCUAGUUUACCUUCUGAUCGCUGGAGACGAAUGUGAAACCAGUAAUACGGCAGCAAACUGAAGCAUCAACACAUCACCUUUUCCACAGUGAAGUUUAUGAAACGCCUUAUAACUUGGGAUGAAAUCAGGAGACCCAAGCUAUAGACUUCUGUAGCCAUGUACAAUGCCCAGACUUUUCACUGUAUUUAUAACUAUUUGUACAGUCAGUUAUACUCACAUACAUUUAUAAUGGUCACUGACUUUAGUGUUAGUUUCCUUACAUGUUGCAUCAUUCCAUUACAUCAUUAGUUUACCACAACUUGCACCCUCAUGUUAUUGACUGUAUGUUUGUUUAUUCCAUGUGUAACUGUGUUGUUGUUUGUGUCACACUGCUUUGCUUUAUCUUGGCCAGGUCGCAGUUGUAAAUGAGAACUUGUUCUCAACUGGCCUAUCUGGUUAAAUAAAGGUGAAAUUAAAUAGAAA